CUCCUCUCUCCUCCACCCCUUCUCUCUCCUUCGAUCUCUCUCUCCAUUCCUCCCUCAAUCUUUGUCUCUCUCUGUCUCAGUCCAGCAGCUCUGGCACUAAGGACUCUGUGUCUAAGGGACGGUUGGGUGAGUGAGCAUCCAAGCACAGGUGGAAUUAAGGUUAUAGGGUUAAACACACACACACACACACACACACACACACACACACACACACACACACACACACACACACACACACACACACACACACACACACACACACACACACACACACACACACACACACACACACACACACACUAUACUCCAGCUCAUGUGAUCAACGGCCAGGUGGUGUGUGUGUGUGUGUGUGUGUGUAUGCGUGCAUGUGUUUUUAUGUGUGUGUGUGUGACUGAGAGUCCAUCUGCCGCUCUGAUUCUCCAAUGUCGACACUCUUUGAUCUGUGGUGACACAGCAUAUGGCCUCCUGGUUCUACCCUUCCCUCUCUCUCUCUCUCUCCCUCUCCUUCCUUCUCUUCCUCUCCUCCUUCAAGCCAACAGUCUGUCCUGAUAUAAACCGUCUGUGAUAUGAAUAUGAGCUCCAGAGACAGCAUGAGUGUUCCAAAUGACACCCUAUUCCCUUCAAAGGGCACUACUUCUGACCAGGGUAUACAGGGGACUAGGGUGCUACUUGGGAAGCAGACAGACACACGGCUGAUAUUCCUCAAAGCUUUUGGGCCAUUACUCAAACUCUGUCAUCGGAGAGAUAUGAAAUCAUAUAUUUCAUUGAAGGAUAGGCACCCAUUACAUCUCCAGUCAUCCCAAACCAGAUAUGAUCUCUGAGUCCCAAACGGCCUGCUUUUCUCUAUACAGUGCAUUAUUUAUGACCAGGGCGAGUAGGGCUCUGGUCAAAAGUAGUACACGGCGUAGGGAAUAGGGUGCCAUUUGAGGUGAGGACAAUAUGCCUGAUGCACUAAUCUGCUGUUUAAACCACUAGUCCAUUAAAUGGUGGAAAAUACAUGAACAAUAUUAGGCUCAGGUCAAUGUUUGAAUAAGAUAAGGUAGCUAGGUAGGCCAUGUUUUUAUGUCUGCAUCCUAUCCUAUUCCCUACGGGCCCUGGUGAAAAGAAGUGCCCUAAAUAGGGAAUAGGGUGCCAUUUGGGCUGAAGGUUAUAGCCUAGCAGCGUAGUACACACGUACCGUUGAUGACGCAGGCUUAGACGUAGGGACCAUAGUAUGAUACUAUAGCCAUUUUCCAAUGCAUCAUAUGAAGCACACGUACUCACGCACGCACACACAAGCAAACACACUCUUGGACUCAUACCUUAGAUUUAACUGCAUGGUCGCACGCCUCUCUCUCCUCAGAGCCCAAAUAUUCUCUCUUUCUCUCUCCUGCUCUCUCCUCUGUUUACAUAAGACAACAGAGGAGUAAUCGGAUGGAUUUUCACCUUUGUACAAACAGCAACAAUGGCUGCCACCACAGAGACCACACCAUCACUAUGACAAGAACCAGGGACAGGAGAGAGGGAGAGGGAGGAAGGGGGGAUUGGGGGAGAGGGAGAGAGUGUAAGGGUGGGAAGGAGAGAGAGAGAGGGCGGGAAGGAGGGGGGAGGGAGAGAGAGGGGACAUUCCGCAUGAAGCUGAAACAAAAAAAGACUAUGACUUUUUGGAAAGAGAGGGAAGGAAGAAAGAAAUAAAGAACCAUUAUGACUGACCCCCUGUAGCCCAAACCUCUCCCCCUCCAUUCCUCCUUCCAUCCCCCCCUCCAUUCCUCCCUCAUUCUCUCCGUCAUCUGACUCCCACCUGACUAGAUGUGUAUCCCAAAUAGCACCCUCUGACCUAAACAGUGCACUACUGUUGACAUGGGCAGACUCCGGCAGAAUGCUAUCUCAGAAAACCCAGAGAUUUGAAUUUCUGGAUUUCUGAGGACAACCUUCAACAUGACGAUACAGGGUAUAAUAAAAUUCCUAUGAAGUAACAUAGUCCAGACCGACACCUUAUCUGGCAAUGACUCAUUCACACACAUGUACACGCUCGCACAGACACAAACACACACACACACACACACUUGAAACCAGAUGUGCAGAACCAGCCCCAGACAGGGAGCCUGAGGGCUGAGCGAACCCAAGUGUAUCACGACGGACGGGGACUAAACACACAACACCCCCACCUGGAAGUCCCAGAUCAAGUUGCAUAAAUCAUUCUAUGUAAUGAUUCAACAACGAACAGAGUGAAAAGAGAAUUAAUAUAUAGAGUCACACUUUCCUUCUGCACUAGUGGCUAAACACACUACACUAGACCAGUUAGAUAGAGGUGUUAUCAUCCCACACUACACUAGACCAGUUAGAUAGAGGUGGUGUUAUCAUCCCACACUACACUAGACCAGUUAGAUAGAGGUGUUAUCAUCCCACACUACACUAGACCAGUUAGAUAGAGGUGGUGUUAUCAUCCCACACUACACUAGACCAGUUAGAUAGAGGUGGUGUUAUCAUCCCCCACUAGACCAGUUAGGUAGAGGUGGUGUUAUCAUCCCACACUACACUAGACUAGUUAGAUAGAGGUGGUGUUAUCAUCCCACACUAGACCAGUUAGACAGAGGUGGUGUUAUCAUCCCCCACUAGACCAGUUAGGUAGAGGUGGUGUUAUCAUCCCACACUACACCAGUUAGAGGUGGUGUUAUCAUCCCACACUAGACCAGUUAGGUAGAGGUGGUGUUAUCAUCCCACAUCACACUAGACCAGUUAGGUAGAGGUGGUGUUCUCAUCCCCCACUUGACCAGUUAGGUAGAGGUGGUGUUAUCAUCCCACACUAGACCCGUUAGGUAGAGGUGGUGUUAUCAUCCCACACUAGACCAGUUAGAUAGAGGUGGUGUUAUCAUCCCCCACUUGACCAGUUAGAUAGAGGUGGUGUUAUCAUCCCACACUAGACCAGUCAGAUAGAGGUGGUGUUAUCAUCCCACAUCACACUAGACCAGUUAGGUAGAGGUGGUGUUAUCAUCCCCCACUUGACCAGUUAGAUAGAGGUGGUGUUAUCAUCCCACACUACACUAGACUAGUUAGAUAGAGGUGGUGUUAUCAUCCUACACUACACUAGACCAGUCAGAUAGAGGUGGUGUUAUCAUCCCACACUACACUAGACCAGUUAGAUAGAGGUGGUGUUAUCAUCCUACACUACACUAGACCAGUUAGAUAGAGGUGGUGUUAUCCUCCUACACUACACUAGACAAGUUAGAUAGAGGUGGUGUUAUCAUCCCACACUACACCAAACCAGUUCGGUAGAGGUGGUGUUAUCAUCCCACACCAGACCAGUUAUUUAGAGGAGGUGUUAUCAUCCCACAACAGACCAGCUCGAUAGAGGUGGUGCUAUCAUCCCACAACAAACCAGUUAGAUAGAGGUGGUGUUAUCAUCCCACACUACACCAGACCAGUUCGGUAGAGGUGGUGUUAUCAUCCCACACUACACCAGACCAGUUCGGUAGAGGUGGUGUUAUCAUCCCACACUACACCAGACCAGUUCGGUAGAGGUGGUGUUAUCAUCCCACGCUACACUAGACCAGUUAGGUAGAGGUGGUGUUAUCAUCCCACACUACACUAGACCAGUUAGGUAGAGGUGGUGCUAUCAUCCCACACCAGACCAGUUAGGUAGAGGUGGUGCUAUCAUCCCACACUACACCAGACCAGUUCGGUAGAGGUGGUGUUAUCAUCCCACACUACACCAGACCAGUUAGAUAGAGGUGGUGUUAUCAUCCCACACUACACCAGACCAGUUCGGUAGAGGAGGUGUGUUAGUUUGGUCACAGCUGGGCUGUUAUGUCCAGGCUAUCUCUUUAUUCUUGAUUUAUUUAUAGUCAAGUUGACUGUAAACAAUUUCUAAUUUACAGAAACGACCUGGGGAAUAGUUACAGGGGAUAGGAGAGGGGAGAAAUGAGCCAAUUGGAAGCUGGGGAUGAUUAGGUGACCAUGACGGUACGAGGGCCAGAUUGGAACAGAGCCUGCAGUAAAAUGGCCAUUCUCAUUCUACUUCCCCUUGAUGACCUAAGAGAAUUUGGGAGAUAUGGAAAACCGACAGGAUCCAGAUUCAGGGUUAAAAUCAAUGUCGUUCUAUUCCCUGUACAGUAGAUAUUGUAUUAUCUUUGUUAAUUUAUUUGUUUGAAUCUGAGGUUGUAACCAAACACACAGUUUAUUUCACGGAAUGUAUGUCUGCGUUCCAAAUGGGGGGGUGGGGUCUCGCACAGCAGUCUAAGGCACUGCAUCUCAGUGCUAGAGGCAUCACUGCAGACCCUGGUGUGAUCCCGGGCUGUAUCACACCCGGACGUGAUCGGGAGUCCCAUAGGGUGGUGCAGCGUCGUCCUGGUUUUGGGAGGCCGGUGUAGGCCGUCAUUGUACAUAAGAAUUUGUUCUUAACUGACUUUCCUAGUUAAAUAAAGAUACAAAAUAAUAAUAAUCCUAUUCCAUACAGUUGAAGUCUGAAGUUUACAUACACCUUAGCCAAAUACAUUUCAACUCAGUUUUUCACAAUUCCUGACAUUUAAAUCCUAGUUAAAAUUCCCUGCCUUAGGUCAGUUAGGAUCACUACUUUUUUUUAAAAAUGUUAAAUGUCAGAAUAAUAGUAGAGAGAAUGAUUUAUUUCAGCUUUUAUUUCUUUCAUAACAUUCCCAGUGGUUCAGAAGUUUACAUACACUCAAUUAGUAUUUGGUAGCAUUGCCUUUAAAUUGUUUAACUUGGGUCAAACGUUUCGGGUAGCCUUCCACAAGCUUCCUACAAUAAGUUGGGUGAAUUCUUUUUGCAGCAACAACCUGGGGAAUAGUUACAGGGAAGGGAAAGGGGAUGAAUGAGCCAAUUGUAACCUGGGGAUUAUUAGGUGACCGUGAUGGUUUGAGGCCCAGAUUGGGAAUUUAGCCAGGACACCGUGGUUAACACCCCUACUCUUACAAUAAGUGCCAUGGGAUCUUUAAUGACCUGAGAGUCAGGACACCCAUUUAACGUCCCAUCUGAAAGACGGCACCCUACACAGGGCAAUGUCCCCAAUCACUGCCCUGGGGCAUUGGGAUAUUUUUUUAGACUAGAGGAAAGAGUGCCUCCUACUGGCCCAACACCACUUCCAGCAGCAUCUGGUCUCCCAUCCAGGAACUGACCAGGACCAACUCUGCUUAGCUUCAGAAACAAACCAGCAGUGGUAUGCAGGGUGGUAUGCUGCUGGCCCAUCUGGACAAGACCCAUUUGUGUCCAAGCUUUAACUUCCUGACUGAUGUUUUGAGAUGUUGCUUCAAUAUAGCCACAUCAUUUUCCUUCCUCAUGAUGCCAUCUGCCACCCCAGUGCUUCACGGUUGGGACGGUGUUCUCCAAACAUGACGAUGGUCAUUAUGGCCAAACAGUUCUAUUUUUGUUUCAUCAGACCAGAGGACAUUUCUCCAAAAAGUACAAUCUUUGUCCCCAUGUGCAGUUGCAAACCGUGGUCUGUCUUUUUUAUGGCGGUUUUGGAGCAGUGGCUUCUUUCUUGCUAAGCGGCCUUUCGGGUUAUGUCGAUAUAGGACUCGUUUUACUGUGGAUAUAGAUACCUGUACCUGUUUCCUCCAGCAUCUACACAAGGUCCUUUUGCUGUUGUUCUGGGAUUGGUUUGUACUUUUCGCACCAAAGUAUGUUCACCUCUAGGAGACAGAACGCGUCUCCUUCCUGAGCGGUAUGACGGAUGCGUGGUCCCAUGGUUUUUAUACUUGCGUACUAUUGUUUGUACAGAUGAACGUGGUACCUUCAGGCAUUUGGAAAUUGCUCCCAAGGAUGAACCAGACUUGUGGAGGUCUACAAUUAUUUUUUCUGAGGUCUUGGCUGAUUUCUUUAGAUUUUCCCAUGAUGUCAAGCAAAGAGGCACUGAGAUUGAAGAUAGGCCUUGAAAUACAUCCACAGGUACAACUCCAAUUGACUCAAAUGAUGUCAAAUUGCUUCUAAAGCCAUGACCUUAUUUUCUGGAAUGUUCCAAGCUGUUUAAAGGUACAGUCAACUUAGUGUAUGUAAACUUCUGACCCACUGGAAUUGUGAUGCAGUGAAUUCUAAGUGAAAUAAUCUGUCUGUAAACAGUCGUUGGAAAAAUGACUUGUGUCAUGUCCUAACUGACUUGCCUUAACUAUAGUUUGUUUACAUGAAAUUUGUGGAGUGGUUGAAAAACAAGUUUUAAUGACUCCAACCUAAGUGUAUGUAAACUUCCGACUUCAACUGUACAUAUAUAUAUAUAUAUAUAUAUAUAUAUAUAUAGUGCACUACCUUUGACCAGGUCCCAUAGUGCACUAUGUAGGGAAUAGGAUGCUAUUUGAGACACAUCCUAUUUCACUAAAAUCAAUCAUUCUUUAUCUCUGUCUCGGACUAGGAUAUGACAUCGUCAAAAUGCCUCAGUGUUUUGUUUACCACCACAAGGGUUCCGUCUAUUGCAGAGGCAGGGCAUCACCACGGUAACAUCAGAGAGAGCUAGGGCUGGGCUCUAGUCAGCCUAGUCAAGAGUCUGCAUGAUCAAGCAUCAUGAUCUGUCUAUGCAAUCGGGACUGUAGGGAGAGAUGGAGAGAUAAGAGGAUGCAGGGGAAAGAGAGAGAGAGAGAGAAGGAAGCAGGAGAGGGAGUAAGAGAGAGAAUGAAUGAGAUACAGAGAGACACACAGAAAGAGGAAGAAGAGAGAGAGAGAGGGAAAGAGAAGGAAGAGGGGAGGGAGAGUGAAAGAGAGGAGGGAGAGUGAAAGAGAGGGAGAAGGAAAGGAGAUGGAGAGAGAAGGAAGAGGGGAGGGAGAGUGAAAGAGAGGGAGAAGGAAAGGAGAUGGAGAGAGAAGGAAGAGGGAGAGUGAAAGAGAGGGAGAAGGACAGGAGAUGGAGAGAGAGAGCCAGAGAGAGAAAGAAGGGAGAUAAACGAGCCAGGGGAGUAAAGUACAUUUAGUUAAGUUACAUUCUCCUGAGGAUAGAAAAGGGAACAUACACACACACAGUGUUGCUGUAGAUUCCCUUCCCUUUAUCUCUAGUGACCUAACUUGAACGCAGCUCCCCCUCCUCCCUCAUCGCCCCCUUUCUCUCUUCC
ensembl:lncRNA